GGUGCACUCUUCUGUGGGCAGGCCAGCAUCAGUUCGGGCGGUUGGAGAAAGACCUGUGUCAUGUAGCUGUUCUCGGGCAGUGUUAUAGGGCAGGUGGAAUGCAACCAGCCUGAACUGAGGUCCGCGCUUUUGCUAGGAUGCUGGCGUAAUGGCUGUAAGCGGCCCGUCUUGAAACACGGACCAAGGAGUCUAACAUCUAUGCGAGUGUUUGGGUGUCAAGCCCGAGCGCGUAAUGAAAGUGAACGGAGGUGGGAACCCCUCGGGGUGCACCAUCGACCGAUCCUGAUGUCUUCGGAUGGAUUUGAGUAAGAGCAUAGCUGUUGGGACCCGAAAGAUGGUGAACUAUGCCUGAAUAGGGUGAAGCCAGAGGAAACUCUGGUGGAGGCUCGCAGCGGUUCUGACGUGCAAAUCGAUCGUCAAAUUUGGGCAUAGGGGCGAAAGACUAAUCGAACUAUCUAGUAGCUGGUUCCUGCCGAAGUUUCCCUCAGGAUAGCAGUAACGUUUUCAGUUUUAUGAGGUAAAGCGAAUGAUUAGAGGCCUGGGGGUUGAAACAACCUUCACCUAUUCUCAAACUUUAAAUAUGUAAGAAGUCCUUGUUUCUUAAUUGAACGUGGACAUUUGAAUGUAUCGUUACUAGUGGGCCAUUUUUGGUAAGCAGAACUGGCGAUGCGGGAUGAACCGAACGCGGGGUUAAGGUGCCAGAAUGCACGCUCAUCAGACACCACAAAAGGUGUUGGUUCAUCUAG
rnacentral:rRNA from 1 species